AUACGGAGGGUGCGAGCGUUAAUCGGAAUUACUGGGCGUAAAGCGCACGCAGGCGGUCUGUUAAGCUAAGAUGUGAAAGCCCCGCGCUCAACGUGGGAGGGUCAUUUAGAACUGGCAAGACUAGAGUCUUGGAGAGGGGAGUGGAAUUCCCAGGUGUAGCGGUGAAAUUGCGUAGAGAUCCUGGAGGAACAUCAAUGGCGAAGGCAACUCCCUGGCCAAAAGACUGACGACUCAUGUGCGAAAGUGUGGGUAGCGAACAGGAUUAGAUACCCUGGUAGUCCACACCGUAAACGCUGUCUACUAGCUGUUGUGAAUUUAAUCCGUGAGUAGCGAAGCUAACGCGAUAAGUAGACCGCCUGGGGAGUACGGCCGCAAGGUUAAAACUCAAAUGAAUUGACGGGGGCCCGCACAAGCGGUGGAGCAUGUGGUUUAAUUCGACGCAAACGCGAACGAACCUUACCAGGUCUUGACGAUCCAGAGAACUUUCCAGAGAUGGAUUGGU
rnacentral:rRNA from 1 species